CUUGCUCUGGUGGCGAGUGGCGAACGGGUGAGUAAUAUAUCGGAACGUACCCUGGAGUGGGGGAUAACGUAGCGAAAGUUACGCUAAUACCGCAUACGAUCUACGGAUGAAAGUGGGGGAUCGCAAGACCUCAUGCUCGUGGAGCGGCCGAUAUCUGAUUAGCUAGUUGGUAGGGUAAAAGCCUACCAAGGCAUCGAUCAGUAGCUGGUCUGAGAGGACGACCAGCCACACUGGAACUGAGACACGGUCCAGACUCCUACGGGAGGCAGCAGUGGGGAAUUUUGGACAAUGGGCGAAAGCCUGAUCCAGCAAUGCCGCGUGAGUGAAGAAGGCCUUCGGGUUGUAAAGCUCUUUUGUCAGGGAAGAAACGGUGAGGGCUAAUAUCCCUUGCUAAUGACGGUACCUGAAGAAUAAGCACCGGCUAACUACGUGCCAGCAGCCGCGGUAAUACGUAGGGUGCAAGCGUUAAUCGGAAUUACUGGGCGUAAAGCGUGCGCAGGCGGUUUUGUAAGUCUGAUGUGAAAUCCCCGGGCUCAACCUGGGAAUUGCAUUGGAGACUGCAAGGCUAGAAUCUGGCAGAGGGGGGUAGAAUUCCACGUGUAGCAGUGAAAUGCGUAGAUAUGUGGAGGAACACCGAUGGCGAAGGCAGCCCCCUGGGUCAAGAUUGACGCUCAUGCACGAAAGCGUGGGGAGCAAACAGGAUUAGAUACCCUGGUAGUCCACGCCCUAAACGAUGUCUACUAGUUGUCGGGUCUUAAUUGACUUGGUAACGCAGCUAACGCGUGAAGUAGACCGCCUGGGGAGUACGGUCGCAAGAUUAAAACUCAAAGGAAUUGACGGGGACCCGCACAAGCGGUGGAUGAUGUGGAUUAAUUCGAUGCAACGCGAAAAACCUUACCUACCCUUGACAUGGCUGGAAUCCCUGAGAGAUUGGGGAGUGCUCGAAAGAGAACCAGUACACAGGUGCUGCAUGGCUGUCGUCAGCUCGUGUCGUGAGAUGUUGGGUUAAGUCCCGCAACGAGCGCAACCCUUGUCAUUAGUUGCUACGAAAGGGCACUCUAAUGAGACUGCCGGUGACAAACCGGAGGAAGGUGGGGAUGACGUCAAGUCCUCAUGGCCCUUAUGGGUAGGGCUUCACACGUCAUACAAUGGUACAUACAGAGCGCCGCCAACCCGCGAGGGGGAGCUAAUCGCAGAAAGUGUAUCGUAGUCCGGAUUGUAGUCUGCAACUCGACUGCAUGAAGUUGGAAUCGCUAGUAAUCGCGGAUCAGCAUGUCGCGGUGAAUACGUUCCCGGGUCUUGUACACACCGCCCGUC
rnacentral:rRNA from 1 species